AUUGAACGCUGGCGGCAGGCCUAACACAUGCAAGUCGAACGAGUGGCGGACGGGCGAGCAAGGCUUGGGAAUCUGGCUUAUGGAGGGGGACAAGGACGGGAAACUGUCGCUAAUACCGCCUCCCAUAGGCUGGGCCCAGGUGGGUUUAGGUAGUUGGUGGGGUAAUGGCCUACCAAGACGACGAUCUCUAGCUGGUCUGGGAGGAUGACCAGCCAAACGGGGACUGAGACACGGCCCGGACUCCUACGGGAGGCAGCAGUGGGGAAUAUUGGGCAAUGGGGGCAAGCGGACGGAGCCAUGCCGCGUGAGUGAAGAAGGCCUUCGGGUUGUAAAGUUCUUUCAGUGGGGAGGCGUUAACAACAGAAGAAGCACCGGCUAACUCCGUGCCAGCAGCCGCGGUAAUUC
rnacentral:rRNA from 1 species